CUCUCUCCUUCUCUCGUCCCCUCUCUCUCUUUCCCUCCCUCCCUCUGUCGCUUUAAAACAAAGACGCUUUGUCAUAAACAGGGUUAUUUUACCAAAAGGAGUCAAGAGGCCAACAUAUGUGGUCUUAACGGGUCAGAGGUCAAACAUCCAUGAAACACAAGGUCACGGAAGCCACACAAGUAACCUUCCAGUGUGUCAACAUAUUGAUAUUGUCAGAUAACAGAGAGUUGAAAUACGCCUUUGGCCCCCGUUAUUACGCACAAGCAGAGCCCCAUUUUUCGACCAAGACUAGUGCAUCUUUGCGUUAUAUUUAAAACUUCAGAUCACAUUUUAUAUAGUUAUAUUUCUACACUUUAAAUGUAACAUCUGUUGGCUAUGUCCCAUUGUGUAAAGCUGGCCCGAGAACCUGUUGAAAUAGAGGGUCUUUUGGGAAUUUUCAAUAGCCUUUCAGUAGGAAAAACCUGCAGCUAUGUGCCUCUAUACCCCUAAGAUUUUUUUUCCCCCUUUUUAAUUUUCUUUCUCUUCUGCCUAUCUGUGGAAGGUUUUUGUGCUUUUCCACAGAAAUAAAGAACUUCUUAUAGGGGUCGGAAGACGUGACUUUGAACUUGGAUCAGCUCCUGCAGUUUCCUGUGGUGCGGGUUGAAAUAGGACUUGGAAGAAUGGCACACACAACGCACAGCCUGUCCCACUCUGAGCUUAGAGACACACUAUUUCAGAAAAAAAGUUUGGUAAAAACGUUUCCUUGCGCCUUCACACAUUUUAUCGCCACUUUGCAGGGAGAAAGAGAGCCAGGGAGAGAGUGGAGACGGGACUGUUGGGACUCUGCUUCAGUGAAAAUGUUUUGUCUAAUGAGACAGAAAUGAAAGAGGACAGGGAUCAAAACCAGUCGCGGUCCCCGUGAUGCAGACUCCUAUUCUGGAUUCCUGCUAAUCUGCCUGCCGGAGCCCUAUUGGUGGAUUGGAGCAGCAUUGGGGGCCACAGAGAGGAGGGGCUGAAUUCAAUCAAACCCCAGUGAGGAUGUAUGACAACAGCCAGAGUUCAGUUUGGUGAGGGCAAAUAGAGUUUUAAAAUGAUUGAUGUAUUUUCAUAGAUGGAUAGAUAUUUUAUUAAUCCAGGGGUCGCGACCCCCGAAAUAAGGGUGUCAGAGACUGGGGUCCACUGUCUGGAGGUAGUUAUGGCUUAUAAUGUAGCGCACAUGCACAUAGGCAUAUCCAAACACUGCUAACAAAAAAGAACAACACAAAAGUAUAACAGUCUAAACAUUAUUAUAUAUAUUUAUUUAGUGUAAGAAAGGCUGGAAGCAGAAUACAAGUAGUUUUCCAUAUACAGACUUUUACUUGAAAAUAAAUAAAACAUACACGUGAGAAAGGUUCAGAGCGACAGAAAUGUUGUGAUUUUUAUAAUAAAUUGGUGAUACUUAGCAAGAGUAGUGAGCGGGAUUUUUUUCUUUUCAAGUAUUAGUUUGUUGCCUU